ACAUCCAUCCUCUCUCUCUCUCUCUCUCUCUCCACUACCCAUCCACGGCCAAACGCCCCUGCUGCUCACCACCAUCUGAUCCGCUCGUCGUUACUGCGAGGCCCAGUGUUUCAAUUUCCAAACGGGAUCAAAGGACCGGCUCCUGGAACUAUUCCUAGGUCUAGCCGAUUCGACAUCGACGCUCUAUCUAGACCUCUCCUUCGACCGCCUACUCGAGUCCAGGCCUUGUGAUUCGGACCAGAACGAUAUGGUCAAGCGAGCGAUGAAGAUGGGAUCUGUGCUCCUCAAAGCCCAUAAGAGAUCUGCCAAAAAGCGUGCCACAAUGCACAACGCCGUCGUUUGGGCCCUGCCUCCCGAUCUCACUACCAAAAUUCGUGUGGAUUGAUUUAUUUUUUAGGGGGGUUUAGGUUUCGGUUAUUUGUUCGGUUGGAGUGCACAAAUCUCUUUGACGGUUUACCUGGAACACUGGAUAUGGAGUCUACUAUUGUGAUCAAGAGGGUGCAAUCUAAAUGUUACUUACCAAAAUGCAUAAAUUCUCAGCUGGCUCAAUGAUAGAGUUUACAUGGGCUAUCCUCAAUUUCCCACAAUCCCAUUGAUUUGUAUUUUGUGCCUUACUGAUUGCUGAUUGCACACCUCUAUUUUGAUUAAGGUAGGAGGAACUACAGACAAUCUUGAAUAAAGUUGUGCAAAGUUUGCUACUUGAGCCUUACCCGUUAGAUUGAUAGUUGCUUAGAAGGCUGCCUUGUGUUAGCUAGAAUGAAGGAGUAUCGUUCAAUGUUCAGUGUUCCAUGGAAAUAUCAAAG